rnacentral:rRNA from 1 species
ACUCCUACGGGAGGCAGCAGUGGGGAAUAUUGCACAAUGGGCACCAGCCUGAUGCAGCCAUGCCGCGUGAUGUAGCAAGAAUGGGCCUUCGGGUUGAUAAAGCACUUUUCAGUUGUGAGGAAGGUGGUGUCGUUAAUAGCGGCAUCAUUUGACGUUAGCAACAGAAGAAGCACCGGCUAACUCCGUGCCAGCAGCCGCGGUAAUACGGAGGGUGCGAGCGUUAAUCGGAAUUACUGGGCGUAAAGCGCAUGCAGGCGGCCUUGUUAAGUCAGAUGUGAAAGCCCGGGGCUUAACCUCGGAACUUGACAUUUGAACUGGCAGACUNGAUGUACUGGGUAGAAUGGGGGAGAAUUUCAGGUGUAGCGGUGAAAUGCGUAGAGAUCUGAAGGAACU